GCAUCUCCUUCUUCAGGUGGCUGAUGAUGUAGGCGUGAACCUGAGCCGGAGAGAUUGAGGGGUGGGGGAGUCGGAUCGGACAGAGAAGGGAGACGGCAAAGUGAGAGCACGGAGGAAAACGGCUGUCCCACUUCCCUCGCCUCUCCCUCGCUGCCGCCGUCAGGGAGGAAGAGGAUGCCGGGGUAUCCGGGGAAGCCCCAUCGACCUGACUCCUCGGAACCUACGAUGUGGGGAGUGUUGAGCGGCAGUAUAAUGAUAAUAAUGGAGGCAUUUAUUAUUAUUAAUAAAUAACGAUGAACACGA